AAUGCAAGUGUUUAACAGAUGCUUCACUAUUAAAAUAUUUUCCCCCCAAGUCUCAAAUAUUGAAGAAUCUCUAACCAGGGACACCAGUCCCUACGAAGACCUUGGGCGAUUUUGAAGUGCGGGCACCUCGAUUCCCCGAAUCUGUAGUGUGGCUGGUAUCGGUGUUCCCCUGGUUUAACUAGCCUGUUUGAAGGCACAGAUCAUUCAUGGGGAUGUAUAACCGAAACCAGUCCUCUCCACCGCCUGGGGAUCUUCACUUUCGCAGUCUACGACUGCCUGUGACUCCAGAAAGACAAACUGCAGAUUGGCCAAGUGCAUGUUAGCGGUUUGCUGGAUUUCCCUUCUCCCUCGCUGUUCAACUGCUAGCAUGAUUUGUUACAUUUUCCACAGCUGUUUAUUCUUGUUUGACUUUUUGUACAAAGUCACUUUAAAUCUGCUGCAGAAAGAAUAAAGCACCUAGCCCUUUGGAUGGACUCCUGCAGGCGUGUGGCUGUCCCUGGCCCACUUUUAAUUCUUUGGAGAUGGCUCUUCUGUGUAAAUCAGCUGCUGGGUGCGUUCGGUCACCUCGUAGGCCAGCCUAGUUUGUAUCAGCAGAACAGUAGUGGACUCGACUCAGGUCGUAAGCCUUAUAUUUCACAGACAAUUAAAUCUUGGCUGCUGUUGAACAAAACUGUAAUAUUUACUUUGUUCUAUACCGAGAAGCACUUUUAAAGUAAAAAAGAAAAAAAAA
rnacentral:lncRNA from 1 species